GAAAUAAAAUAUAUGAAUUUCUAAUUCAAAAAAUAAUAUUAAUUUAUUAUUAUUUCU
rnacentral:tRNA from 1 species